rnacentral:tRNA from 1 species
GGUGGCUCAGUGGUAGAGUGCUUGCCUUGCAUGCCAGGGGCCCUGGGUUCGAUUCCUCAGCACCA